rnacentral:rRNA from 1 species
CUGUCGCUGGCCUUUUGCCGGGGCAUGUGCACGCUCUCCUUGGAACCUUUGCCUUAUGGGCGCGGGGCGACCCGCGUCUUCAUAUACCUCUUCGUGUAGAAAGUCUUCGAAUGUUUAUAUUAUCAUCGAGCCGCGACUUCUAGGAGACGCGGUUCUUUGAGACAAAAGUUAUUACAACUUUCAGCAAUGGAUCUCUUGGCUCUCGCAUCGAUGAAGAACGCAGCGAAUCGCGAUAUGUAAUGUGAAUUGCAGAUCUACAGUGAAUCAUCGAAUCUUUGAACGCACCUUGCGCUCCUCGGUGUUCCGAGGAGCAUGCCUGUUUGAGCGUCAGUAAAUUCUCAACCCCUCUCGAUUAGCUUCGAAAGGGCGCUUGGAUAGUGGGGGCUGCCGGAGAUCUGGACUUUUCGUCUGGGACUCGGGCUCUCCUGAAAUGAAUGGGCUUGCGGUCGGCUUUCGACUAUGCAUGACAAGGCUUUUGGCGUGAUAAUGAUCGCCGCUCGCCGAAGUGCAUGAAUGAACGGUCCCGUGCCUCUAAUGCGUCGAUGCCUUCUGGCGUCUUCCUUAUUGACUUUUGACCUCAAAUCACGUAGGACUACCCGCUGAACUUAAGCAUAUCAUA